AGGGAGACAACAAAAUGUUUAAUAUUAUUAUUUUGUCACCUUAGGUCGAUCGGUAUCUCACGUUCUUAAUUUGUUAAGAAUUUCAUUUCCUAAGUUUUUCUAGGUCACACCCAUUAUUUUUCCUGGGCCAUUAGCUCAGGUGGUUAGAGCGCACCCCUGAUAAGGGUGAGGUCCCUGGUUCAAGUCCAGGAUGGCCCAUAUCUCUAUGUUGGGGGUAUAGCUCAGUUGGUAGAGCGCCUGCUUUGCAAGCAGGAUGUCAGCGGUUCGAGUCCGCUUACCUCCACUGAUUACCACCUCUUCCAUAACUGGUAGAAAGGAAAUGUUUUGAGUUGUGAUUAUUAUUCUGAACGAAUCUAGCUUCCUAAUGAAAUCAUUAAGAUGCUGGACUCAUUGAAUUAAUUUCAUUGUUUUCAGAGAACCUUGACAACUGCAUAGAUUUUUUUAAAGACAAUAAGCAUCUUUAAUGAUGCAGAUUUAUUAUUUGUGCGAAUGCAUUAAUAACAAUUCUAUUAAGCUGAUGCUUCAAUUUUUGAAGUUAUU
rnacentral:tRNA from 1 species